GGACCGCAGCCAGGCCGACGGCUGGGAGUCGGACCAGGAACGCUGGCAGAGCCGCAGAAACGCCCGCCGCGACGUCGAGAAGCAAAUGGCGGAUGGCGGAGCCACCAUGGAUAUGCUGCAAAGCGAUGAGGAAGAAGAGGAAGAUGAAGAGGCGGACGAGGUCAUUGACACGUUCCAUCCGGACGACCUCAAUGAUGCUGACGAUGAAGAGGAAGAUGAUGCGGACGGGGAAACGGACGAGAUCGCCAAACUGCUGCCGCUGCCUCGGAAGACGGCGAACACCGCGCAGGACGCUACUAAGCCGACACCGCCAGGCCCGCACCUCGUCUGAACAGGCUGAACAACUGGCCCCGAGCUAACAGCGACGGGACCUCCCGGCACUGACAGAGCUGGUCGGGCGAGAAGCCAGCUGUGGCCUGAUCAUGUGGGCUAGGAUUUAAAGGCGGACAAGUACCAUGAGGACGUGCUAGUCCGAACGUGAUCCAAACCAAUCGAAGAAAACAUAUUGAACCGGCCUUGUACUGAGGUCCACCACGGUCAUUACUUCACCAACCGAUCGGGCGGACGGCGGUGGCGAACAGACAGCAGGCUGCGCUGAGGCUUAGCAGCAUGCUGAACAAGUUAGCAGCACCUGACUUCAGACAGCAUGUCCCACUCCCUUUAAACGCGUGAUUGCAGGCUGAUCACGAAGUGGAACUGAGCUUCGAAGUGGAUUUAUCAAACCUUAGGACUCUCAUAGACUCUAACCAUCUUUUUGGCGUGUUGGCUUCAGUCCAUUAUUGUCCGGUUCUUUGCAGUUUCAUUGUGCACGUUGUUUGUGGCUUGCAUUUAAUGUGGACCGCGCGUGGCCGAUGAUUCCAAA